UACGUAGGGGGCUAGCGUUGUCCGGAAUCAUUGGGCGUAAAGAGCGUGUAGGCGGUCCGGUGAGUCCGCUGUGAAAGUCGGGGGCUCAACCCUCGAAUGCCGGUGGAUACUGUCGGGCUAGAGUGCGGAAGAGGCGAGUGGAAUUCCUGGUGUAGCGGUGAAAUGCGCAGAUAUCAGGAGGAACACCUAUUGCGAAGGCAGCUCGCUGGGACGUUACUGACGCUGAGACGCGAAAGCGUGGGGAGCAAACAGG
rnacentral:rRNA from 1 species